UUCUCAGGCAGCGCUGGGAUGAUGUAUUGUCCUUCCUGACUUGUGACAAAGAGAACUAUUCGGUGCUGGGGUUGAGCUAGGGAUAUGAUAGAUAUCUUUAAUUAUAUGAUAAUCAGAGAUGAGCUAAUUAGAUAUCACUAGAUAACUGAUCAGUUGCAGCAUUCAUAUAACGAAAAAUGUGCAAGGAAAUAGAGUCAAUGUCAUUGACGUAGGUUUGUGAUAGCUGCGUUUGCUUUGUGAUAUGACCAUUUAUUUUAUGUAGUGAAAACCAAGUUUUUUAAAGAGAAAAAAAAACAUGUCAUCACGGGGAAUUUAAGUGCCUGUUUUCAUCAAUGGCUUUUCAAGUUCAGUCAAUUCUAUUUUUUACCAACAAGCCUACGUGGUAGUUAAAAAAAGUUGGCACAAGUAGACUCUGAUGAGUUUGCAUCAAUUUUAUUUUUCUAGAAUGAACUAGCCUUUGAAUUAGCUGAACUUUUUCUUCUAAAACUCUUUUUCUCUUUCUAGGUGUAUCCAUUUUGGAAGUCCUAGAUAAAGCAAUCAGAGAAGAGAAAGAAAUAAAUGGUAUUCACAUUGAAAAAGAAGAAGUCAAAUUC
rnacentral:lncRNA from 1 species